GACUAAGUAGCUCAGUGGUAGAGCAGUUGACUGUUAAUCAAUUGGUCAUAGGUUCAAAUCCUAUCUUGGUCU
rnacentral:tRNA from 1 species